AGUCGUGACGACGACGCCGGGGCCAAUUCCCGCCUGAAAAGAAUAUUCACAAUGCCCAUUCCGCGGCUCAUCCUUUAUUUUUAAGGUGUCUUCUCUAUGCGCUGUGCCCGUGGAUAUCCCCCUUCGCUCUACUUACAGCGGCGACAAGCGAUAAUGAAUAACCACACGACGAACAAACGCGAGCUAACGGUCGACCAAGACGAUCGCGCUUUCGUCACCUGGAACCACGACGCUGCAUACAAGACGCUUUGGAUUUGUAUGGCGACCAGCCAUGGAUCUGUAAUCGUUCGCCUUUGUAUGGUGCUUGAAAUUGGAGAAUGAAUAUCGUCCAGGGUUUUUGUUGCUAUUGUGCCGCGGUGAAAUAUUUGUCGCGUGGAAUUCUUUUUGGGUAGGAUCGUGUAUUGGGUUGGUUAUUGUGUAACAAAGGUGGUUUUCGUAGUAAAAGUUCGGAUAAAUAAGUAAUAAGUGGGAUAAGCGUAAAGCUAAUAAUAAUAGUAUUGUGAUGCGAUGAGAUAUUUGUCGUGUGGAAUUCCUUCUUGGUAGAAUCAUGCAGUAGGUUGUUGUAUCAUAAAUUAAAACUACAGGUUCGGCCCUUCGAGCUCGAAUAGAUGUAAAUAUUCUUCUGUGUUUCAGAAAAUUAUUUUCGAUAUGGUAGGAAAGUCCUUCUUUUUGAAUAUCUGUACAAGUAUCAGAAAAAUAUACCUGUCUGAUGGAAUCAAGCCGAACGCUAAUAUUUUCAAUGUAAAAGUGAAGAUUCUUAAAACAACGUCCGAAGAUGUAAGAGAAACCUACGAAACAAUCUAAAAUUCCAAAUUCCACGCUCUCGCGGCAGAAGCAAGCGCAACAUAUAUAUUUUGAUACAGCUACCAUAUAACCGGCAACGUGUGCAAGCGGACGUUCCCGAAAUCCGAUACGAAGCAAAGAGAGGAGCAUGGAAUUCCGGAAUGCGGACGAUGGGUCGUCUACGGCCCUGAUCUUGGAUGCAGCCAGCUCGUGAUCGAGAGGCGUUUAAGGGAUGGCAACAGCGGCGGAUGGCAAAAAGAACGGGUUCGUCUUUGACUUCGCUCGUGAGACUUCAAGUGGUGAAGAAAAAAAUGGGACUUGUAUUUUUAAAAGCUUUGGGAAGUUACUGAUACAGGGAUUUAUCUGACGUUUUUGUAAAUUGCGCGUUGAAAAGACUGGAGAAUUAAGAUUUAAUUUUAUCGAAGGACGACCUGAAUCUUCCUUUAAUUUUCACUCUUAAUUAUAUAACUUCUGUUUAAUUCAACAUUGGAUUAGCGCGUUUAAUUUGCAUUAUUUUUUCAAUCAAUUCCGUGAUUUAACAUUGAGGGUAUGAAAAAUAGAUUCCACGAUCUUACGAAGUUUGAAGAAAUUGAAAUAACCACAGCUAUAGCAUAAGCAAUCUUUUUAAAUCAUGAAAAUUUUCUUUAUGCCUCUGUCUUAUUCACCGUUAUGGUCAAAUGUUAUUUUAAUACAGUACUUUACAGUAUAGUACUUUAAGAAAACAAUAUAUUUAUACCUUUCCUUGAAAAAACACUAUAUUUAUCUUUUGUACCUUGACAAAAUCAAUACACAAAUUUUAC